CUGGGGAUUCUACACACUCCAAAAUCUGAAGAGUAAGCAAAAAUAAUGCUUCUGCUUAAACCCUUCACAGUUUAUAGCCACAUUUACAUAGCAUUAAAUAAGUCAACAAAGGCAUCAUUAGCUCCCAUUAAAAUAUGAGCAAAGAAAUUUAAACGAACAAGACAGGCUAAUUGGUAAGUAAUGUUGUGUAUCAAAAAUUAUGACUGUAAGAUACCCCAGUUAAUGAGAAGCCCUACAAUCAUGUUUACUACAUAUUUAAAAAUUAAAUGAAGGUGAAUAAAAGUUAACAGAAAAGAUUUUCCUCUUCAUAGAUGCUACCGUGUCUGUUUUUCAAAGUUAAAAUUGAAAAGCAGCUUAGUGAUCUCAUUACUGAGGCUUCUCAUUUUGCAGUUAACAAAACUAAGAGCUCCUUUUCCUUUAAGCCUUCCCUUCCAAGUAUGUGAAGAACUAUUGUUUUCCUUACUGCACAAGCUGAGCUUGAAGUGGUUGUGAAUUCCGAAUACUUAGUUGUCAGUUACAGUCCCAAGCUGGGACUCAGAAGAAAUCGGUACAGAGCAGCAGAAUCGAUAGUCAUUGGUAUGUUUCUUGGUAGCUAAACUCAUGGAGAUUAUUGAGACUUUCCAAGAAGAAAAGAUGAGAAAACCAGGGGGCAGGAUGAAAUCCUGAGGUUCUUCCAUUUUUAUCUUACCAUGAAAGUUUGUUACCUGUUAUAAUCGUAUAAAUUAGAUGUAAGUAACUGAGACCCUUCCCCCAUGGCUGAGGCUGUUCUGUGUGACAUUCAAAGAUAAUGGUUAAAUAUAAAUAAAUCUUGAAAAAUNNNNNNNNNNNNNNNNNNNNNNNNNNNNNNNNNNNNNNNNNNNNNNNNNNNNNNNNNNNNNNNNNGUGUAAUCUUUUCCUUUCUGAAAACUCUGACUCAGGACAGCUGCUAAAAUCUCUCCUCCUUUCAAACUUCUUACUCUUUCUCUACAAUUCUUUCCACCACUCCUCUGCUUUCUUUCCAGGUAUCUUUUCUCUUUUCCCAAAGUCAUGCUGCUGCUCUUAAACUGAAAGUCCCUGUUGAGCUUUCUGCUUCAAGUCAUACUGGGCUUGCUAAGGAUGGUUUGAAAGCUCCGUAAUACCCAUUUUCCUUUACCACACAUAGGAAAGCAUGGAAAGUCCCAGCUCCUUCACCUGCCCCCAGACAUGUUUUUCAUUUGUUUUCUUAUUUAAAAUUCUUAUGAAUAAUUUCUGAUAAGUCAAUUUUCUGUGACACUGUAAACAACAGUCCCCUAAAGGUUUCUGCUAACCUGAAAAUUUUAUAAGCACAUAUUAUUAAUAUAAACAGUUGCUAACAAUUUCACUGGGACUGAGUCAAAGGUAGAAUCUAGUGGCAUGCCAAGAGAGACCUUCCCUAGGUUGAGUAAGAUCACUUUUACUUGAAUCGUAUUGGAGUGACUACACUAAGUGACUAUUCAUCACUAAACUUCACAACUGGUGUAGGUGUAGCGAGU
rnacentral:lncRNA from 1 species